GAUAAACGCUAGCGGCAGGCUUAACACAUGCAAGUCGAGGGGCAGCAUAGAUUGUAGCAAUACAAUUGGUGGCGACCGGCGCACGGGUGCGUAACGCGUAUGCAACCUACCCGUCACAGGGGGAUAAUCCGGAGAAAUCUGGUCUAAUACCCCAUAACAUAUGGACCGGCAUCGGUUCAUGUUGAAAUUUUCGGAGGUGACGGAUGGGCAUGCGGAGCAUUAGCUUGUUGGGGAGGUAACGGCUCACCAAGGCGACGAUGCUUAGGGGGACUGAGAGGCUUUCCCCCCACACUGGUACUGAGACACGGACCAGACUCCUACGGGAGGCAGCAGUGAGGAAUAUUGGUCAAUGGCGCAAGCCUGAACCAGCCAUGCCGCGUGCAGGAUGACGGCUCUAUGAGUUGUAAACUGCUUUUGUACGAGGGUAAAGUGGGUUACGUGUAACCUUUUGAAAGUAUCGUACGAAUAAGGAUCGGCUAACUCCGUGCCAGCAGCCGCCGCCG
rnacentral:rRNA from 1 species